ACUCCUACGGGAGGCAGCAGUGGGGAAUAUUGGACAAUGGGGGAAACCCUGAUCCAGCAAUGCCGCGUGUGUGAAGAAGGCCUGAGGGUUGUAAAGCACUUUCAACUGUGAGGAUUGGGGAUUUUGGUUAAUACCCGAGAUCCUUGACGUUAGCAGUAGAAGAAGCACCGGCUAACUCCGUGCCAGCAGCCGCGGUAAUACGGAGGGUGCAAGCGUUAAUCGGAAUUACUGGGCGUAAAGCGUCUGUAGGCGGCUUAUU
rnacentral:rRNA from 1 species